rnacentral:rRNA from 1 species
CCAGACUCCUACGGGAGGCAGCAGUGGGGAAUAUUGCACAAUGGGGGGAACCCUGAUGCAGCGACGCCGCGUGGGUGAAGAAGUCAUUCGGGACGUAAAGCCCUAUCAGCAGGGAAGAAAAUGACAGUACCUGACUAAGAAGCCCCGGCUAACUACGUGCCAGCAGCCGCGGUAAUACGUAGGGGGCAAGCGUUAUCCGGAUUUACUGGGUGUAAAGGGAGCGUAGACGGCGGCGCAAGUCAGAAGUGAAAGCCCGCGGCCCAACCGUGGGACUGCUUUGGAAACUGUGUGGCUAGAGUGCGGGAGAGGUAGGUGGAAUUCCUAGUGUAGCGGUGAAAUGCGUAGAUAUUAGGAGGAACACCGGUGGCGAAGGCGGCUUGCUGGACUGUAACUGACGUUGAGGCUCGAAAGCGUGGGGAGCAAACAGGAUUAGAUACCCGAGUA